GUCUUUUUGAAUUAUUUUAAAAGUCUAACCUGCCCACUGAAUAAUUUUUAAAUGGCCGCAGUAUCCUAACUGUGCAAAGGUAGCAUAAUCAUUAGUCUUUUAAUUGAAGGCUGGUAUGAAUGGUUGGACGAGAUAUUAACUGUUUCAUAAAAAUUUAUAAUAGAAUUUUAUUUUUUAGUCAAAAAGCUAAAAUAAAUUUAAAAGACGAGAAGACCCUAUAAAUCUUUAUAUUUAGAAAAUUAUACUUUUAAGGAAUUUUUUUAGUAUAAUUUUUGAUAAUAUUUUAUUGGGGUGAUAUUAAAAUUUAAAAAACUUUUAAUUUAUUGAAUCAUUAAUUUAUGAAUAAUUGAUCCGUUAUUAACGAUUAAAAAUUUAAGUUACUUUAGGGAUAACAGCGUAAUUUUUUUGGAGAGUUCUUAUCGAUAAAAAAGAUUGCGACCUCGAUGUUGGAUUAAGAGAUAUAUUUAGGUGUAGCCGCUUAAAUGUUAAGUCUGUUCGACUUUUAAAUUCUUACGUG
rnacentral:rRNA from 1 species